rnacentral:rRNA from 1 species
UACGGGGGGGGCAAGCGUUGUUCGGAAUUAUUGGGCGUAAAGAGCUCGUAGGCGGUGUGUCGCGUCGGCCGUGAAAACCUGCAGCUUAACUGUGGGCUUGCGGUCGAUACGGGCAUCACUGGAGUUCGGCAGGGGAGACUGGAAUUCCUGGUGUAGCGGUGAAAUGCGCAGAUAUCAGGAGGAAUACCGAUGGCGAAGGCAGGUCUCUGGGCUGACACUGACGCUCAUGCACGAAAGCGUGGGGAGCGAAACAGG